rnacentral:rRNA from 1 species
GACGAACGCUGGCGGCGUGCUUAAUACAUGCAAGUCGAGCGAGGUUACUGUUUGGAUCCCUUCGGGGUGAAGAAGCUUUAACCUAGCGGCGGACGGGUGAGUAACGCGUGGGUAACCUACCCCAAAGUCCGGGAUAACAGCGGGAAACCGCUGCUAAUACCGGAUGCCUUUACCUUGGGGGCAUCUUGAGGUAAAGAAAGGUAACGCUUUGGGAUGGGCCCGCGUCCCAUUAGCUAGUUGGUGAGGUAACGGCUCACCAAGGCGACGAUGGGUAGCCGGCCUGAGAGGGUGGACGGCCACACUGGGACUGAGACACGGCCCAGACUCCUACGGGAGGCAGCAGUAGGGAAUCUUGCGCAAUGGACGAAAGUCUGACGCAGCCACGCCGCGUGAGUGAAGAAGGCCUUCGGGUCGUAAAGCUCUGUCGGGCGGGACGAACAUCUAUAUGGUGAAUAGCCAUAGAGACUGACGGUACCGCCAAAGGAAGCACCGGCUAACUUCGUG